rnacentral:rRNA from 1 species
AGUGAACGCUGGCGGCGUGCUUAACACAUGCAAGUCGAACGAGAACGGAUUAUAGCUUGCUAUAAUUGUAAGCUAAGUGGCGCACGGGUGAGUAACGUAUAGGUAAUAUGCCUCUUACUAAGGGAUAACAAAUGGAAACGUUUGCUAAUACCUUAUACUCCUUUUAAACAGAAGUUUAAAAGGGAAAGAUUUAUUGGUAAGAGAUUAGCUUGUAUUGUAUCAGUUAGUUGGUGGGGUAAUGGCUUAUCAAGACUAUGACACAUAACUGGUUUGGGAGGAUGAUCAGACACACUGGAAAUAAGACACGGUCCAGACUCCUACGGGAGGCAGCAGUGGUGAAUAUGGCACAAUGGACGAAAGUCUGAUGCAGCAACGCCGCGUGGAGGAUGACACAUUUCGGUGCAUAAACUCCUUUUAUAUGAGAAGAUAAUGACGGUAUUAUAUGAGUAAGCACCGGCUAACUCCGUGCCAGCCGCCGCCGUAA